AGUGAACGCUGGCGGUAGGCCUAACACAUGCAAGUCGAACGGCAGCACAGUAAGAGCUUGCUCUUACGGGUGGCGAGUGGCGGACGGGUGAGGAAUACAUCGGAAUCUACUUUUUCGUGGGGGAUAACGUAGGGAAACUUACGCUAAUACCGCAUACGACCUACGGGUGAAAGCAGGGGAUCUUCGGACCUUGCGCGAUUGAAUGAGCCGAUGUCGGAUUAGCUAGUUGGCGGGGUAAAGGCCCACCAAGGCGACGAUCCGUAGCUGGUCUGAGAGGAUGAUCAGCCACACUGGAGCUGAGACACGGUCCAGGCUCCUACGAGAGGCAGCAGUGGGGAAUAUUAGACAGUGGGCGCAAGCCUGAUCCAGCCAUACCGCGUGGGUGAAGAAGGCCUUCGGGUUGUAAAGCCCUUUUGUUGGGAAUGAAAAGCAGCAGGUUAAUACCCCGCUGUUCUGACGGUACCCAAUGAAUAAGCACCGGCUAACUUCGUG
rnacentral:rRNA from 1 species